rnacentral:rRNA from 1 species
UACGUAGGGGGCGAGCGUUUGUCCGGAUUUAUUGGGCGUAAAGAGCGUGUAGGCGGUCCGGUAAGUCCGCUGUGAAAGUCGGGGGCUCAACCCUCGAAUGCCGGUGGAUACUGUCGGGCUAGAGUGCGGAAGAGGCGAGUGGAAUUCCUGGUGUAGCGGUGAAAUGCGCAGAUAUCAGGAGGAACACCUAUUGCGAAGGCAGCUCGCUGGGACGUAACUGACGCUGAGACGCGAAAGCGUGGGGAGCAAACAGG